rnacentral:rRNA from 1 species
AUUGAACGCUGGCGGCAGGCCUAACACAUGCAAGUCGAGCGAGCGGCGGACGGGUGAGUAAUGUCUGGGAAACUGCCUGAUGGAGGGGGAUAACUACUGGAAACGGUAGCUAAUACCGCAUACCAUCAGAUGUGCCCAGAUGGGAUUAGCUGGUGGGUGGGGUAACGGCUCACCUAGGCGACGAUCCCUAGCUGGUCUGGGGGGAUGACCAGCCACACUGGAACUGGAACACGGCCCAGACUCCUACGGGAGGCAGCAGUGGGGAAUAGUGCACAUGGGGCGCAAGCCUGAUGCAGCCAGGCCGCGUGUGUGAAGAAGGCCUUCGGGUUUUAAAGCACUUUCAGCGGGGAGGCGUUACCCGCAGAAGAAGCACCGGCUAACUCCGUGCCAGCAGCCGCGGUAAUAC